GAGGUGGUGCGAUGGCCGUCGUCAGUUCGUACUGUGAAGCAUCCUGUAAGUCAGGCAACGAGCGAGACCCACGUCCACAGUUGCCAGCAUACCCUCCGGGGUGAUGGGUACACUGUGGAGACCGCCGCUGCUAAAGCGGAGGAAGGAAUGGGCAACGGUAGGUCAGUAUGCCCCGAAUCUCCCGGGCUACACGCGGGCUACAAUGGUUGGUACAAUGGGCAUCUACCCCGAAAGGGGAAGGAAAUCUCUUAAAGCCAAUCGUAGUUCGGAUUGAGGGCUGCAACUCGCCCUCAUGAAGCUGGAAUCCGUAGUAAUCGCGUUUCAACAGAACGCGGUGAAUACGUCCCUGCUCCUU
rnacentral:rRNA from 1 species